CUACACACGUCAUAACAAGUGGAGUGGUAACGAAAGGGGUCCGACCCAACCCGCGAGGGGGAGCCAAUCCCAUAAAGCCAUUCGUAGUCCGGAUCGCAGUCUGCAACUCGACUGCGUGAAGUCGGAAUCGCUAGUAAUCGUGGAUCAGAAUGUCACGGUGAAUACGUUCCCGGGUCUU
rnacentral:rRNA from 1 species